GGGUGAAUCUUCCGCAAUGGGCGAAAGCCUGACGGAGCAAGACCGCGUGGGGGAAGAAGGCUCUUGGGUUGUAAACCCCUUUUCUCUGGGAAGAAAGUUGUGAAAGCAACCUGACGGUACCAGAGGAAUCAGCAUCGGCUAACUCCGUGCCAGCAGCCGCGGUAAGACGGAGGAUGCAAGCGUUAUCCGGAAUGAUUGGGCGUAAAGCGUCCGCAGGUGGCAGUUCAAGUCUGCUGUCAAAGACCGGGGCUUAACCUCGGAAAGGCAGUGGAAACUGAACAGCUAGAGUAUGGUAGGGGCAAAGGGAAUUCCUGGUGUAGCGGUGAAAUGCGUAGAGAUCAGGAAGAACAUCGGUGGCGAAGGCGCUUUGCUGGACCAUAACUGACACUCAGGGACGAAAGCUAGGGGAGCGAAUGGGAUUAGAUACCCCAGUAGUCCUAGCCGUAAACGAUGGAUACUAGGUGUUGUCUGUAUCGACCCGGACAGUGCCGUAGCUAACG
rnacentral:rRNA from 1 species